rnacentral:snoRNA from 1 species
AGCCUCAUUCCUUUUGAGAAUGGGCGCAGUGGAUCAUGGUGUCCAGAACUGCUAUUGUGACUAAAUUGAGACACUGGGUUAUGCUUCCAUCACAGUAAAUUUAUUGUAGUGGUGUCAGUGAGACUUGUAACAAUU